AAAGUUCGGUUUGAAAUAGGUCGGCAAUUUUUUUUUUUUUUUGUUUAAGCAAAGCAUGUGACGGAGUGAGAUAGGAUUCGACGCCACCGCGAACACAGUGACGCUGUUAGUCUUGUUUCUUGUCGUUCUCUGAUAGAAAAUUUCCAGUUUUACUUUGUACAAUAGACCAUUGUCUCCGUUCGCGCUACUGGAAAUUCAGCGCUUGUCUAAGUGUAGACCGAUCUCAGAAGUGUGUUGUGCGAACCUUCAGGCUCGGUUAGACUAACAGAUAGUUGUAGUAUACUGGGAUAGUUGAUUUGUUAUUGUCCUCGUGGUAGAUUAUUUGCGUAAACAAAUAAACGGUUAGGGCGGGUCACUGACAAAUGACAACAGUCGGGUCAUGCUGAAACCAUCGGUGCACCUCUCACCCACAUUCGAAUGAUCAGACGGCACCGAGGCACGGAUGAGUGCGCCCUACUCACAGAAUGCACAUUGCCGCCGGGACAUCGGUUAGAAUCCCAGCAGCAGCGGCAAAGUUUAGUUUUUCUGCGUACUGUGUCGACCAUGCAAGUUGGGAUGAGAUGGUCAGACGACAGCGACGCUAUGACUUCGACUACCUUAGAAAGGCGAAGAUGGCCGUCGUCGAUGUAACAGAAAGCACGGAAUGACUUACAUUGCGAAGCCCGUUUUGAUUGCUUAACUCUUAUCACAGUUUAAUAGCAGACCUGUGCCUUGUCUGCAGAAUAGUCGGAACCGCUCUGCCACCGCUUGCGCGAAUCGCUGUCGACUGGUACACUCUUCGUAGCGUCAUUAAUUGCCCCUAUUCCUGUUUGCCCUUAUGUCGCACGUACUUACUUCACGUUUACUUCUAAUCGAAUAUCCAGAAGGCACGCAUUACUCUGUUGAGGAGAUAUUUGAGAAAUUAGUUUCUAAAGAAGCUGUGAUUGUUGCCGGUGACCACCCAGCUUGAUACCUGCAAAGAUGUUUUAUAGAUGAACAGUUCUUGUUACCUAUAAUCAGCCAUAUUAAAGAAGGGCUGUUUAUUGUUCGGUGACUUCUGUAGGCAUGGGACUUGAGUGUUUGUUUUCGCAUGCCGUUGCUCAAUACGUUUCGCUGGCCCAAUUGGGGACUGUGGUAGAACAAAUGUUUGUGUUAAGGCAGCCUAAUUGGCGCACGAACUACAAAUUUGAAACGGUCAUGACAUAAACCACGAAAACUAAGCGUACGACACAGCGUUGUAAAUUCGUCUUCUGUUCAAUACCUGUUUUAGUAGGGCCAUUUUCGUGCCGCUCUGUUUGCACAGGCAGUAUCAAACGAGUGCCCUCAAUUUCGCCCUUCCUAUUUCGCCGAAUUUGGCCCACAGCUAAUCAACUGAAGUUAGCAGCCGAUGAAAAAAUUCGCCCUAAUUUAGUUGGGGAAGAUCACGUACACUACAGUUUUGUAGCAGCAUAUGAAAUCUUCCACUGUACCAUUCCUGAUAUUGUGGUGCGCAGUUUCUUUUUGUUAUGAUAGCAAUUACAGGGGAAGUCCAGACACGUUUCCGCCGUUAUAGUUACCGUGAUGUUCCACAUAACGUCCUUGCUAGCAGUGUCCAUGCUUGUGCAUACUUUUUCUAAAGCCAAGUGCUCCUGAGCGAGAAGUUGUGAGACUAUAAAAUUGUGCGCCUUUCUCAGUCAGUACCCUCGUUUACCAAACUUUCAGAGAAGGAAGGUAUAGGAUGAUGCGGCUGUUACAAAAUAAGAUGGCUGCGACAGUUUUCACAAAUCUUCCUGUUCGCUACCACUGCCCACAUUUGGGGACUGGUUUUCUAAAGCCAAAUACGCGUCAGUGAAACGUUCUGAGGCAUCCAAAUCACGUGAGCUUGUCAGCCUUCACCAUGCACGGAAAAAAAUAGUUGUAAACACAAAGAACAUAUACAAAAAUGUUCUGUACCACAAAAUAAAUUAUCUGUGAAUGCGCUAUAACAAAAACCUGCGAAUAGAAGAACUCAGAAAUUUUCUGUUCUUCUCCACCUCUAGCCUAUAAAUCGAGUCAAAAUUAAACGUUAACUGUUUUAAAUUAUCGUAAACGCAUAAAAACUAAUAAGUAACAUUUUAGAGCUUUCUUGCUAUCACACAAGGUGUUUUUUGACUACAUUAUACACGACGCGCUGUCUGCGGUACUGCUUUGAUGGCCCAUGCUAUAUUCAAGAUGGAUGCCCUUCGAUUGAACGCAUGACUUUACUGCUCCGUUUCUUCUUUCGCCGAAUUUAAGAAGUCAGCUGCAGCGUGACACCCUGGGAGAGGAACCAAGGUCCAGCGUUCAAGCAAGCAGCAUGGCCUCGCAGCAAAAGUUGUCUCCAUUAUCAGGUGCCUUCAAGGUUGAGCUUUAACGCAAACGUCUUCAUCAACGUAAUGCCGAGGGCACUUCGAGUAAUUGUUCAGCAUCAUAAUGGCCUCCUUUGUAACCGCUAUCUCUUGUACAGUAUUAAGAAGUUCGCUGUUUCUGUUUUGCAUGUGGCUUAUUCCAUCAUCAGUUUUUCUUGCUUUACAAUAAAGCACUUUUCUAUUUUCAUAUGAUACUAACUGUACCCUGGCUCUUCUUUGCUGCACCAUAUACCACAGUGUUAUAGUUGCCACCGGCUCUUUUUCAAGCGUGGCUCGAUGAAAUAUAUGGUUCCUUGGUUUAUAGAAAAAAAGAAAAGAAGUGUUAAAAUGAGAU